UGGGGAAUUUUGCACAAUGGAGGAAACUCUGAUGCAGCGACGCCGCGUGAGUGAUGAAGAUCUUCGGAUUGUAAAACUCUGUCCUUAGUGAAGAUAAUGACAGUAACUAAGAAGCAAGCCCUGGCUAAAUACGUGCCAGCAGCCGCGGUAAUACGUAUGGGGCAAGCGUUGUCCGGAAAUAUUGGGCGUAAAGGGUACGUAGGCGGUUUAAUAAGUCCUAAUUAAAAGGAUAUGGCUCAACCAUAGUAUGGUUAGGAAACUGUUGAACUUGAGUAGAUGAGGGGAAAGUGGAAUUCCAUGUGUAGCGGUGAAAUGCGUAGAUAUAUGGAGGAACACCAAUGGCGAAGGCAACUUUCUGGAAUCAAACUGACGCUGAGGUACGAAGGCGUGGGGAGCAAACAGG
rnacentral:rRNA from 1 species